GGUCCCCGCCGUUCCCGCAUCGCACACGGGUUCCCCACGGGCCGGGCCUCCUCGGCUACGGUCCAGGUUUUCUUUAUUUUCAUUUUUUUGCAUGCAUUCAUUUUCUGUUCUAUCUCGUCCCUUUUAAGGCAGCGGCGACGGCGACAGCAGCGUAGGUGCGCGCGGGGAGGGGGCGGCCGGAGAAUGCGGCUCCCCGCUGCUGCUCGGCUCGGGUCGGAGUGUCAAGCAGACUUGCCAGUGAUGGUGUGCACAGAGGACGAGCGGAGCCCUGUACGACUGCUUAGCACAGCCGAGCUGGUAGCUGUGCUCGCUGGUGGGUGGGCGUGAACCUCAGGACCUCCGUGUCUCACUCCAAGAGGAAACAUGUCUAAAAAGGGCCGCAGCAAGGGGGAGAAGCCCGAGGUGGAGACAGACUCUGUGCAGAUGGCUAAUGAAGAGCUGCGGGCCAAGCUGACCAACAUCCAGAUUGAGUUCCAGCAGGAGAAGAGCAAGGUGGGGAAGCUGCGGGAGCGUCUGCAGGAGGCCAAGCUGGAGCGGGAGCAGGAGCAGCGUCGCCACACGGCCUACAUCUCGGAACUCAAGGCCAAGCUGCACGAGGAGAAGACGAAGGAACUGCAGGCGCUGCGCGAGGCGCUCAUCCGGCAGCACGAGCAGGAGGCAGCGCGGACCGCCAAGAUCAAGGAAGGUGAGCUGCAGCGGCUGCAGGCCACGCUGAAUGUGCUGCGCGAUGGCGCCGCAGACAAAGUCAAGACUGCAUUGCUGGCCGACGCGCGCGAGGAGGCGCGCAGGACCUUUGAUGGCGAGCGCCAGCGGCUGCAGCAGGAGAUCUUGGAGCUGAAGGCUGCGCGCAAACAGGCGGAAGAGGCACUCAGUAACUGCAUGCAGGCAGACAAGGCCAAAGCCGCCGACCUGCGCGCUGCGUACCAGGCGCACCAGGAUGAGGUGCACCGCAUCAAGCGAGAGUGCGAACGUGACAUCCGCAGACUGAUGGACGAGAUCAAAGGGAAGGAGCGGGUGAUCCUGGCCCUGGAGAAGGAGCUUGGUGUGCAAACCGGGCAGACCCAGCGGCUGUUGUUACAGAAGGAGGCUCUGGAUGAACAGCUGGUCCAGGUCAAGGAGGCAGAACGCCACCACAGCAGCCCAAAGAGGGAGCUUCCUCCUGGCAUUGGUGACAUGGCGGAGCUUAUGGGUGGCCAGGAUCAACAUAUGGAUGAGCGAGAUGUGAGGCGAUUUCAACUGAAAAUUGCUGAACUGAAUUCAGUGAUUCGGAAGCUAGAGGACAGGAACACCCUGCUGGCUGAUGAGAGGAACGAACUGCUGAAGCGCUCUCGGGAGACAGAGGUGCAGCUGAAGCCGCUGGUGGAGAAGAACAAACGCAUGAACAAAAAGAAUGAGGAUCUGCUGCACAGCAUCCAGAGGAUGGAGGAGAAGCUCAAGAGCCUCACGAGGGAGAACGUGGAGAUGAAAGAAAAGCUGUCUGCUCAGGCCUCGCUAAAGCGACACACAUCCCUGAAUGACCUCAGUCUGACCAGGGACGAGCAGGAGAUAGAGUUCCUGAGGCUGCAGGUGCUGGAACAGCAGCAUGUCAUCGAUGACCUCUCUCUGGAGAGAGAACGCCUGCUGCGCUCCAAGAGGCAUCGAGGGAAGAGCCUGAAGCCCCCCAAGAAGCAUGUUGUGGAGACAUUUUUUGGAUUUGAUGAGGAGUCCGUGGACUCUGAAACAUUGUCUGAGACGUCCUACAACACAGACAGGACAGACCGGACCCCAGCCACGCCGGAAGAGGACUUAGAUGAGACCACAACCAGAGAAGAGGCGGACCUGAGGUUCUGCCAGCUGACCAGGGAGUACCAGGCUCUGCAGAGGGCUUAUGCCCUGCUUCAGGAGCAGGUUGGGGGGACACUGGAUGCUGAAAGGGAGGCCCGGACUCGGGAGCAGCUUCAGGCCGACCUGCUGAGGUGCCAGGCCAAAAUCGAGGACUUAGAGAAGCUGCUGGUUGAGAAGGGACAGGACGCUGCGUGGGUAGAGGAGAAGCAGGUACUCAUGAGGACAAACCAGGACCUGCUGGAGAAGAUUUACAGGCUGGAGAUGGAGGAGAACCAGCUAAAGAGCGAAAUGCAAGACGCCAAGGACCAGAACGAGCUGUUAGAAUUCAGAGUGCUAGAGCUCGAAGAGAGAGAGCGGAGGUCGCCAGCCUUUAACCUCCAAAUCACCACCUUCCCCGAGAACAACAGCAGCGCCCUCCAGCUGUUCUGUCACCAGGAAGGAGUAAAGGGUGUGAAUAUCUCUGAACUUAUGAAGAACUUAGAUAUUCUUGGCGAUAACGGGAAUUUGAGGAAUGAAGAGCAGGUUGCAGUAAUCCAAGCGGGAACUGUGCUUGCCCUCUGUGAAAAGUGGCUGAAGCAGAUAGAGGGAACAGAGGCAGCCCUCACGCAGAAGAUGAUGGACCUGGAGAAGGAGAAGGACCAGUUCAGCAGGCAGAAAGGCUACCUGGAGCAGGAGCUGGACUACAGGAAAGAAGCCCUCGACCAGGCCUACCUGAAAAUCCAGGACCUGGAGGCCACCUUGUACAAUGCACUGCAGCAGGAGCCAGGGCGGAGGGCCAGCGAGGCACUGAGCGCCAGCCAGCGUGAGGACCUCCAGGCAGCUGUAGAGAAGGUGCGCAGACAGCUGCUGCGUCAGAGCCGGGAGUUCGACAGUCAGAUCCUGCGGGAGCGAAUGGAGCUGCUACAGCAAGCCCAGCAGAAAAUCCGGGAGAUGGAGGGCAAGCUGGAGCUGCAGAGGCGCCAGCUGAAGGAGCUAGAGGAAAAGUUUUUGUUCCUUUUUUUGUUUUUCUCACUAGCAUUCAUUCUGUGGCCUUGACGACUCCCAUGCGCCGAGAACUCGGGCUAGACAAAGAGCUUUUGGAAUUACCUGAGUCCCCGUGGUGCCCCAUCCUCACUGAAACCAAAAUCCAACAGCAACAAAGCUUUUCAAAGUCCAGAGCCUGAACACAGAACUUACGCACAUUUGACGGUCACUUAAAGGGGAGGCCUGGGGACCUGGCCAGCCUCUGCUGUGGAGCUCUGCAGGACAAUGGCGAGCCUUCCCAACCGGUCUGGGCACUCCCAGCUCAGUCAUUUCCCUGAUGCAGAUAAACAGUUUCCUUGUGACUCUGAGGAACACAACUGACAGAUCCCAGGCCAUGCCUCGUGGAAGAGCUUCUGUGACCACAGCGGGAUGGGUGGACCUGCAUCAUUCCACUCUGACAUCCCGUCAGCAGCUGGCAGGAGCAAGGAUCUGAGACCCUCGUGGAAGGGUUUUCCCAGGAGUAUUCAGGUUGCUCGGUCGGGGCCAGUGUCUAUCCUCUUCUACCCCCAGGAAGCCACUCAGG